GAUGAACGCUAGCUACAGGCUUAACACAUGCAAGUCGAGGGGCAGCGGGAGGAUGCUUUGCAUUCUCCGUCCGGCGACCGGCGCACGGGUGAGUAACGCGUAUCGGACCUGCCUCAUACCCGGGAACAGGCCUUGCGAAAGUAAGAUUAAUGCCCGAUGUUCCGCAGAUGCCGCAUGGUGUCUUCGGCAAAGUAUUUUUUACGGAUGAGAUGGCGAUCGCGUUCCCAUUAGCUUGUUGGCGGGUAACGCCCACCAAGGCGACGAUGGGUAGGGUUCUGA
rnacentral:rRNA from 1 species